UACGUAGGGGGCGAGCGUUGUCCGGAUUUACUGGGCGUAAAGGGCAUGCAGGCGGUCCGACACGUUUUGUGUGACAGCGGGUGGCUUAACUACCCGAGGAUGCGAAAGACGGUUGGACUUGAGGACUCGAGAGGGACACGGAAUUCCGGGUGGAGUGGUGAAAUGCGUAGAGAUCCGGAGGAACACCGAAGGCGAAGGCAGUGUCCUGGCGAGUGACUGACGCUGAGGUGCGAAAGCCAGGGGAGCGAACGGG
rnacentral:rRNA from 1 species